rnacentral:lncRNA from 1 species
AUGAGGGAGUCACCAAAGGUUUGUGAUGAAGUUGGAACCAGGAUGGAAUCAGCUUCCUUCCAGUCCAGGGACCAUCCUGUGCUGCAUGCCUGUCUCAGGUGCAGCACCGGUGAUGCUAACAGGUGGAACUCUCUCUGCCAGAAGCAACAUCCUCUCAAUUCCCAAGAAUGUUCUCUGGAGCCUGUGGUGGUUAAAGUGGCGACGACACGUUCUCAACAUCAGCCCAUCCUUCCUGCGGAAAGCCGUGCUCUUCUCAACGUGGUUUGCUCACUGCCGACCGUGAAGAGAGGGAGGGCCUGGAGAGGUGGAAUUCUAGAUGAGGGGCCAUCAAAUGAGGGUCCUCGGGCCAAGUCUAGCUCACUGCCUGGUUUUGUAAAUAAAGUUUUAUUUGAACACAGCAGAGCUCGCCGCGUACGUGUUGUUUACAGUGGUGCAGUUGCGUAGUCGUGACAGAGAGCGGCCUGCAAAGCUGAGAAUAUUUAUUGUCUGGCCCUUUGUAGCAAAAGUUUACUGACCCCGCUUCUAAAGUCCUUCUCAUCCUCAGAAGAAGGUCUCCACCCAAAUUACAUACCCACAGAGGAAGCGCCCGAAAACUCUCAACCACUUACAGAGCGCGAUGCUACGACACAUUAAUUCUGUAUGGAGUCCUCACUGCUUUUGUAGACUGGAUAUUUUUCUUCUUCAUCUUCCUGUUUUCCACAUGACACCUUUUCUUCAGUCCAUGGAAAGCUCAAAACCAUUCUUGGUUGGGCAUUAUUGUCUCCAUCUUGAAAUGUGUUUCUCUACUGCUUGCCUUUUGCUCCUAUUUCCCUGAGAAAUGCUCUGCGUGCCCUUGCCAGCCCUCCCUUCCACUCAUCCUGUAAACAUUGGCGUUCCCCAUGGCUCCGCCUUUGCUUUUCUUCUCACUUCCCUACAUCUGCAAACUUCUCGGAAACUCUGCUUUCCUCCCGGAUCUUUCUCCCGAGGUCUAGACUCUCAAUUCCGGAGUUGUUUCUCCUGGACAUCUCCGCUCACGGGGCCCUCAAACCAUGCAUGCUCAUAUCGGACUCAUUGCCUUCUCCCCCAAGCCUGGUCUUCAUUCUGUCUGGUUGGUGUAUAUCCUUCUGCAGCUAGAGACUCAGGAAUCCGCACUGACCGCUCCUCUACCUAUUAGCCACCAAGACCCACUGAUUCUGUCUUCUAAAUACCCCCCCAAUACGUGGCCUCCUGUCCAUGUCUGCUGUCGCUUCAAACUCUCAUCACGUCUUGUCCAAACUGCCUCUACGUGGUCUCCUGGUGACGUCCAUCCUGACUCCACAUUACUUGAUACCCCGCACUGACACCAGAGCCACCUUCCUCAAACCCAAUCUGAUAUGCCACUAUGCUUCCCAUUCCUCAGUGUGUCCUCAUCACCUUCAGGGGCGUGUUCAAACAUGUGGGCGAGGAAUUUAGGUGCUUUCGUGACAAGGCUUUUGCUUAGCUCUCCAGCCCCAUCUCCGAACCUCUGGGUUCCUUGCUCAAGCCAGCGCUACUUUUGCCCAUGGUGUUACCUCUGACCUCAGUGCUUUGUCUGUCUUGAUGCCACUUCCUUCUCUUAUUCAUCUUUUAAGCUUGAGCUCGGGAAUCUCCUCCUCUUCUUACCUAUACGAGGUGAUGGAUGUUAAGUAACCCGAUCGUGAUAGUCAUUUCACGAUAUUUAUGAAUCAAACCAUCAUGCCAAACACCUUGUACAGUGA